rnacentral:rRNA from 1 species
UACGUAGGGGGCUAGCGUUGUCCGGAAUCAUUGGGCGUAAAGCGCGUGUAGGCGGUCCGGUAAGUCCGCUGUGAAAGUCGAGGGCCCAACCCUCGAAUGCCGGUGGAUACUGUCGGGCUUGAGUACGGGAGAGGCGAGUGGAAUUCCUGGUGUAGCGGUGAAAUGCGCAGAUAUCAGGAGGAACACCGAUUGCGAAGGCAGCUCGCUGGGACGUUACUGACGCUGAGACGCGAAAGCGUGGGGAGCAAACAGG